AAUUCUUGACAUCCCGGUCGCGAUUUCCAGAGAUGGAUUUCUUCAGUUCGGCUGGACCGGAGAC
rnacentral:rRNA from 1 species